rnacentral:rRNA from 1 species
GACGGGGCCCGCACAAGCAGCGAGGCAUGUGGUUUAAUUCGAGGCUACACGAAGAACCUUACCUGGGUUUGACAUGUACGAGUAAGUCCCAAGAAACUGGGCCCUAUGCGUAGCAAUACGUAUACCCGUACACAGGUGGUGCAUGGUUGUCGUCAGCUCGUGCCGUGAGGUGUAAGGUUAAGUCCUUGAACGAGCGCAACCCACGUGGUUAUUUGCUCUUGGUCGCAAGGCCAAGCACUAUAACCAAACCGCUACCGACGAGGUAGAGGAAGGUGUGGAUGACGUCAAAUCAUCACGCCCCUUAUGUCCAGGGCUACACACAUGCGACAAUGGUUGGAACAAUGAGUUGCAAACCAGUAAUGGCAAGCUAAUCUCCAACACCAGCCCCAGUACGGAUCGAGGGUUGAAACUCACCCUCGUGAAGAUGGAGCUGCUAGUAAACGCAAGUCAGCCAUAUUGCGUUGAAUACGUUCCCGGGCCUU